UAAUGUCUGGGAAACUGCCAGAUGGAGGGGGAUAACUACUGGAAACGGUAGCUAAUACCGCAUAAUGUCGCAAGACCAAAGUGGGGGACCUUCGGGCCUCAUGCCAUCAGAUGUGCCCAGAUGGGAUUAGCUAGUAGGUGGGGUAACGGCUCACCUAGGCGACGAUCCCUAGCUGGUCUGAGAGGAUGGCCAGCCACACUGGAACUGAGACACGGUCCAG
rnacentral:rRNA from 1 species